rnacentral:tRNA from 1 species
AAUAUAGUGCCUGACAAAAGGAAAGUGCCGAUAAGACUUAUCAUGUGGCUCCCACCACCUAUAUUA